rnacentral:rRNA from 1 species
AUUGAACGCUGGCGGCAGGCCUAACACAUGCAAGUCGAACGAGUGGCGGACGGGUGAGUAAUGUCUGGGAAACUGCCUGAUGGAGGGGGAUAACUACUGGAAACGGUCGCUAAUACCGCAUACCAUCGGAUGUGCCCAGAUGGGAUUAGCUAGUAGGGGGGGUAAAGGCUCACCUAGGCGACGAUCCCUAGUUGGUCUGAGAGGAUGACCAGACACAAGCGAAAUGAGACACGGUCCAGACUCCUACGGGAGGGAGCAGUGGGGAAUAUGGCAAAAUGGGCGCAAGCCUGAUGCAGCCAUGCCGCGUGUAUGAAGAAGGCCUUCGGUUUGUAAAGUACUGUCAGCGGGGAGGCGUUACCCGCAGAAGAAGCACCGGCUAACUCCGUGCCAGCAGCCGCGGUAAUUC